GAUGAACGCUAGCUACAGGCUUAACACAUGCAAGUCGCGGGGCAGCAUGGGGGUUGCUUGCCAUCCCCGAUGGCGACCGGCGCACGGGUGAGUAACGCGUAUUCAACCUGCCCUUCACCACGGGAUAACCCGGCGAAAGUCGGACUAAUACCGUAUGUUGUCCAUUGACGGCAUCCGAUUUGGACGAAAGGCUUGGCGGUGAGGGAUGGGGAUGCGUCCGAUUAGCCAGACGGCGGGGUAACGGCCCACCGUGGCUACGAUCGGUAGGGGUUCUGAGAGGAAGGUCCCCCACACUGGAACUGAGACACGGUCCAGACUCCUACGGGAGGCAGCAGUGAGGAAUAUUGGUCAAUGGGCGUAAGCCUGAACCAGCCAAGUAGCGUGCAGGAUGACGGCCCUAUGGGUUGUAAACUGCUUUUAUGCGGGGAUAAAGUGGCCCACGUGUGGGCUUUUGCAGGUACCGCAUGAAUAAGAACCGGCUAAUUCCGUG
rnacentral:rRNA from 1 species